GCAUUAUUGGUGUAGCGGUUAGCAUUGAAGCCUUCCAAGCUUUAGUCCGGGGUUCGAAUCCCCGAUAAUGCA
rnacentral:tRNA from 1 species